rnacentral:lncRNA from 1 species
CGAAGUGACAGCUGGGGAACCCUGACUGCCACCGACGGCUCCUCCUGGGGCACUGUUAACCCUUCGCCUCCCAGGGAUGAGCCGGGAAAGCCGAGGCAGGAAUGCUGGAGCUUCUGCCUGGGAUCCCUGUGGUGGGCAGCGCCCCUACUUCUCCCAGUCCAGGGCUGGGUCCUUCCCCACCAGGCCCAGCUCGAGCAAGAGCUUGGAGCCACGUGGGAAAGCUUUAAUUAUUAGGUGCAAAAGUGUGGGAAAACUGGGUUUCUGACCUCGAAGAGGCUGUGGAGCCCUGCUGGGGAAUGCUCCAGGUGGGCGGCAGGAGCGGACGUGCUGUGCGUUGGGAAAGACGGGCAUUUUGUCCCGGGACGGAGGGGUUUCUGACCUCGAAGAGACUGUGGAGCCCUGCUGGGGAAUGCUCCAGGUGGGCGGCGGGAGCAGACGUGGUGUGCAUUGGGAAAGACGGGCAUUUUGUCCCGGGACGAAGAGAGUUUUGUCCCAGGAUGGAGCGGUUUCUUGUCCUGGGACAGAGGCGUUUCCAAGGACUGAGUGUCCUCCUGGGCUGUAGCCAAUCUGUGUGCUCAGCCCAGGGGUGCUGCUGAUGAUGGUGGUGGUCCUGCAGCCCUCCCAGGACGUCCCUUGGCCAGUGAUGGCCGGUCCUUGAAAUCUCCACAGCCGGGCAGGAGCUGGGUUUGGCUCUGCCCGGGGGUCCCUCUCCCCUCCCGUGGCCCUCGCAGGGGCCGUGCCUGGCUCCGGGGUGCCGCGGGCGCCCGGCGCGCAGCCUGCCCAGGGUGGAGUUAUGCUAAUGCCGCUCCCCAGCCCUCGGCGCAGCCGGUGCCACUCGGCAUCUUCUGCUGGCCACGGGCGACACCGGCUGUGCCAUGGCCACCUGCCCCGAGCUGCAGCAUGGGCAAGAGAUAAAACGUUUCCUGAAGGAGGACUCGGACGAGGCUGAGCUGACCCAGUUCCUGCGGGAUUGCCCACCAGCUGACGGCUCCAGGAAGGUGGAGGCCCCGGAGAGCCGGCGGGAGCCUGGCCACCCCUUGGGCGGCGUGGCCAGGGUGCCUCCGGACGAAGCCAGUGACGAGAGGGACGCCAGGAUCUUCUCCCGCUCUCGGCCCUCGGAUUUCCAGCAGCACAUCGCUGCCCCCCCGCCCCCCAGCCCCAACCGCCCCCCCCCCCCCCCCCCCCCCCCCCCCCCCCCCCCCCCCCCCCCCCCCCCCCCCCCCCCCCCCCCCCCCCCCCCC